rnacentral:tRNA from 1 species
CGACCGCGUACGUGCCCAGCAGCUCCUUGCGGUGCCACGCGUACCGGGCGCCCUCCGCGAUCGCCGCCCACGAC